rnacentral:rRNA from 1 species
GAUGAACGCUGGCGGCGUGCCUAACACAUGCAAGUCGAGCGCGAUUAAGUGGAGUGAGAACUUCGGUUCAAGUGAAACUUAUGAAAGCGGCGGACGGGUGAGUAACGCGUGGGUAACCUGCCCCAUACAAAGGGAUAGCCACUGGAAACGGUGAUUAAUACCUUAUAAGUCGGUAGUCUCGCAUGAGACAGCCGACAAAGAUUUAUCGGUAUGGGAUGGACCCGCGUCUGAUUAGCUAGUUGGUGAGGUAACGGCUCACCAAGGCGACGAUCAGUAGCCGACCUGAGAGGGUGAUCGGCCACACUGGAACUGAGACACGGUCCAGACUCCUACGGGAGGCAGCAGUGGGGAAUAUUGCACAAUGGGCGCAAGCCUGAUGCAGCAACGCCGCGUGAGUGAUGAAGGCUUUCGGGUCGUAAAACUCUGUCCUAUGGGAAGAAAAAAUAGACGGUACCAUAGGAGGAAGCCCGGCUAACUACGUGCCAGCAGCCGACGG